CCUACAGGGGGCAGCAGUGGGGAAUAUUGGACAAUGGGGGCAACCCUGAUCCAGCCAUGCCGCGUGUGUGAAGAAGGCCCUCGGGUUGUAAAGCACUUUCAGUGAGGAAGAACGCCUGGUGGUUAAUACCCAUCAGGAAAGACAUCACUCACAGAAGAAGCACCGGCUAACUCCGUGCCAGCAGCCGCGGUAAUACGGAGGGUGCGAGCGUUAAUCGGAAUUACUGGGCGUAAAGCGCGCGUAGGUGGCUUGAUAAGCCGGUUGUGAAAGCCCCGGGCUCAACCUGGGAACGGCAUCCGGAACUGUCAAGCUAGAGAGCAGGAGAGGAAGGUAGAAUUCCCGGUGUAGCGGUGAAAUGCGUAGAGAGCGGGAGGAAUACCAGUGGCGAAGGCGGCCUUCUGGACUGACACUGACACUGAGGUGCGAAAGCGUGGGUAGCAAACAGGAUUAGAUACCCUAGUAGGC
rnacentral:rRNA from 1 species